rnacentral:rRNA from 1 species
GACGAACGCUGGCGGCGUGCCUAAUACAUGCAAGUGGAACGCAGUUGAUUCACCGGAGCUUGCUCCAUCGAAUUAACUGAGUCGCGAACGGGUGAGUAACGCGUAGGUAACCUGUCUUUUAGCGGGGGAUAACUAUUGGAAACGAUAGCUAAUACCGCAUAAGAGUGUUUAACACAUGUUAGAGAUUUAAAAGAUACAACUGUAUCACUAAGAGAUGGACCUGCGUUGUAUUAGCUAGUUGGUAGGGUAGAGGCCUACCAAGGCGACGAUACAUAGCCGACCUGAGAGGGUGAACGGCCACACUGGGACUGAGACACGGCCCAGACUCCUACGGGAGGCAGCAGUAGGGAAUCUUCGGCAAUGGGGGGAACCCUGACCGAGCAACGCCGCGUGAGUGAAGAAGGUUUUCGGAUCGUAAAGCUCUGUUGUCAGAGACGAACGUAUGUGAGAGUGGAAAGUUCACAUAGUGACGGUAACUGACCAGAAAGGGACGGCUAACUACGUG